UGCAAGUCGAGCGGACAGAAGGGAGCUUGCUCCCGGAUGUUAGCGGCGGACGGGUGAGUAACACGUGGGUAACCUGCCUGUAAGACUGGGAUAACUCCGGGAAACCGGAGCUAAUACCGGAUAGUUCCUUGAACCGCAUGGUUCAAGGAUGAAAGACGGUUUCGGCUGUCACUUACAGAUGGACCCGCGGCGCAUUAGCUAGUUGGUGAGGUAACGGCUCACCAAGGCGACGAUGCGUAGCCGACCUGAGAGGGUGAUCGGCCACACUGGGACUGAGACACGGCCCAGACUCCUACGGGAGGCAGCAGUAGGGAAUCUUCCGCAAUGGACGAAAGUCUGACGGAGCAACGCCGCGUGAGUGAUGAAGGUUUUCGGAUCGUAAAGCUCUGUUGUUAGGGAAGAACAAGUGCAAGAGUAACUGCUUGCACCUUGACGGUACCUAACCAGAAAGCCACGGCUAACUACGUGCCAGCAGCCGCGGUAAUACGUAGGUGGCAAGCGUUGUCCGGAAUUAUUGGGCGUAAAGGGCUCGCAGGCGGUUUCUUAAGUCUGAUGUGAAAGCCCCCGGCUCAACCGGGGAGGGUCAUUGGAAACUGGGAAACUUGAGUGCAGAAGAGGAGAGUGGAAUUCCACGUGUAGCGGUGAAAUGCGUAGAGAUGUGGAGGAACACCAGUGGCGAAGGCGACUCUCUGGUCUGUAACUGACGCUGAGGAGCGAAAGCGUGGGGAGCGAACAGGAUUAGAUACCCUGGUAGUCCACGCCGUAAACGAUGAGUGC
rnacentral:rRNA from 2 species